AUGAACGCUGGCGGCGUGCCUAAUCCAUGCAAGUCGAGCGAACGGACGAGAAGCUUGCUUUUCUGAUGUUAGCGGCGGACGGGUGAGUAACACGUGGAUAACCUACCUAUAAGACUGGGAUAACUUCGGGAAACCGGAGCUAAUACCGGAUAAUAUUUUGAACCGCAUGGUUCAAAAGUGAAAGACGGUCUUGCUGUCACUUAUCGAUGGAUCCGCGCUGCAUUAGCUAGUUGGUAAGGUAACGGCUUACCAAGGCAACGAUGCAUAGCCGACCUGAGAGGGUGAUCGGCCACACUGGAACUGAGACACGGUCCAGACUCCUACGGGAGGCAGCAGUAGGGAAUCUUCCGCAAUGGGCGAAAGCCUGACGGAGCAACGCCGCGUGAGUGAUGAAGGUCUUCGGAUCGUAAAACUCUGUUGUUAGGGAAGAACAUAUGUGUAAGUAACUGUGCACAUCUUGACGGUACCUAAUCAGAAAGCCACGGCUAACUACGUG
rnacentral:rRNA from 1 species